rnacentral:rRNA from 1 species
CGCGGCCUAUCAGCUUGUUGGCGGGGUAAUGGCCCACCAAGGCUUCGACGGGUAGCUGGUCUGAGAGGACGAUCAGCCACACUGGGACUGAGACACGGCCCAGACUCCUACGGGAGGCAGCAGUAGGGAAUCUUGCGCAAUGGGCGAAAGCCUGACGCAGCAACGCCGCGUGAGGGACGAAGGCUUUCUGAGUUGUAAACCUCUUUCGGCAGGGACGAUUAUGACGGUACCUGCAGAAGAAGCACCGGCCAACUACGUGCCAGCAGCCGCGGUGAUACGUAGGGUGCAAGCGUUAUUCGGAUUUAUUGGGCGUAAAGAGCUCGUAGGCGGUUCGAUAAGUCGGGUGUGAAACCCUCAGGCUUAACCUGGGGCAGCCACUCGAAACUGUCGUGACUAGAGUUUGGUAGGGGAUCACGGAAUUCCUGGUGUAGCGGUGGAAUGCGCAGAUAUCAGGAGGAACACCAGUAGCGAAGGCGGUGAUCUGGGCCAAUACUGACGCUGAGGAGCGAAAGCGUGGGGAGCGAACAGGAUUAGAUACCCUGGUAGUCCACGCCGUAAACGGUGGGCACUAGGUGUGGGGACUUUUCAACGGUUUCCGCGCCGCAGCUAACGCAUUAAGUGCCCCGCCUGGGGAGUA